UACGUAGGUGGCAAGCGUUGUCCGGAUUUAUUGGGUUUAAAGGGUGCGUAGGCGGCCCUGUAAGUCAGUGCUGAAAUAUCCCAGCUUAACUGGGAGGGUGGCAUUGAUACUGCGGGGCUAGAGUACAGAUGAGGUAGGCGGAAUUGACGGUGUAGCGGUGAAAUGCUUAGAUAUCGUCAAGAACACCUAUAGCGAAGGCAGCUUACUAGGCUGUAACUGACGCUGAGGCACGAAAGUGUGGGGACCAAACAGG
rnacentral:rRNA from 1 species